CGGGCUACAUGAAAAAUUACUCUAAUUAUGGCUGCAUUUAAGAGAAUGGAAAAAAACCUUCUUGUGGAUAAAAACCUUAAAUUGUCCCCAAUGUCUGCUUCAAAUUGGAUGGCACUGCAGCUGGAGGCUUUGUUCAGAAUUGAUCCUGGGGAGCUACGAACCCAAAGUUUCACAGUAGGAAGGGGGAAAAAAGAAAAGAAAACAUUUUUCCUAAUGUAACAAUGCGAAUGCUAGAAAAUGACAAGACUGAUCGGUUUUAAACCAUUCUGAAGACUGACUGAGCGUGGAAGUUGCUCAACAAAAAAAGGAACGGGUAUAUUGUUGCUGAGACAGAAGGAAAAUCCACUCCUUUGGAAGAACAUGGUUUUUUCUUACAUUGCUUCCCCACUGCUGUGGCGAUCCUUGCACCCUGGCCCCUGGAAACCAUCAUCAAGAAGACACUGUGAAUGGGCUGCCACUCUCCUAAAGAAGAGGAAUAUCAACUACAGUUUCUCUCUAGAUUGCCUUUUUCUGUUCAAAUAAUGAUUCUCACCAGGGUCAGAUUAAAUAUAACCCAAUGAGACAACUUUUUGGAGGACUAGCUGCUAAUGGCAUUAAAAAUGUUAAUAGCAUACUAACAUAUCUAUGGAAAUACAAGGAGAGGAAAAUGUAUUUAUAAGCUCUUCUCUCAGGGAGAAUUCUGCAUGGGAUUGGAAGGAAUGGCUUAAUAAAUUCCUCAGGGGUGGAAAACGGGGAGUAGUCAGAGGAAGCUGUUUUAUCGCGAGAUUUCUGCUUUUCCUACUGGGAUAUGUAAAUUGGGUGUUCCCACUAAAUUGCCCAUCAUCACAGAGAAGAGCUUGAGUGUCUUAGUGGUCCUCCUGCUCAGUUCUUUUCCUCUAGUAAAGAUUGAACAAGUAGUAGUUUGAAGGAGACACCAGUUUAUUAGCCUACACCAGCAUCAGCACUCUAGGGCUUGAAGAUGAAUACAUUGUCAUAGGCCAUCUAGUUCUAUGACGUGAGCCCUUAAAGUGUCUUUUAAACUUAAGGGUGAGGGUCAUUGCUAACAAAGUAUUUCAAGUCAAAUGAAGCUUGAACUCUUUGUCUAUAGGUGAGCCCCCACCCCCCGCCCAACCGUAUUGAAUGAAUUAAUCAAUGAAAAUACUAGAUUGAGCUGGGAACUUCAAAUAUAUUUGGCUGAAGGGUGAUAUUGCUAGUUAUUUUUAAAAGAGGACAUCAUGGAACAUGCUUGGAAUCAUAAAAUAUGGAAUUGAUGGUUGCAUUUAAUAACUCAACAAACAGUCAAGUAUGGGAAGGACUUUGUAGAGUCUUACAGGCAAAAUAGACAUGGUUCCUAUCCCAUGGACCUUAUAUUCUAACUUCCCCUUAAGUGCGAAGAGCAGUGUUUAUAAUCAAUUGGUAGCCACAAAGGUAUUCUCAGGCCCAGAUUUCUGAUCAAGAUGGUAGGGCUUGUAGUUCAGUGGUAGAGCACUGACUAGCAUGCACAGGGUCCUGGUUCUGAUCCCAGCAACACACAUGGGAGUCCAAUCAAUAAGACUGUGCAGUCUUAGCAACCACUGAAAUUCAAGAAGGAGCCAUUUUUUUUUCUUAGACUGAAGAAACCAUCAAUCAAUACCUGAUUGGCCAAGUUUCAACAUGGAGAAGCGGAAAACUUUAGAGGACCUGGCCAAGGCAAGGAGAGCUACCCAGUUGUAACCUUACCAGAGCUUAAAGAGCCCUUCAUUAUACUCACCUGUGCUUCAUCUCCACCUCACAUGCUCUGUGGAUAACAUGGUUAACCAGUCACUCGGCAGAUCAAGCCACUGAACAAAUGGUCCAACUGGGACAACAGAAGCACAGUCAUCCAUGGUCAUCCCAGUGAAUAAGGCCUCUAUCAAGUCAUGUGCGUGCCGGUGCACUGAAUGAGAACAUAACCCAAGUGACUGCUGACACAGUCUUUGCCAGAAGUGUAAAUUAUGUGGCAACAUCUAAAAGAGCACCUUAUAAUUUCAGAUUUCUU